rnacentral:rRNA from 1 species
UCUACGGGAUGCAGCAGUGAGGCAUAUUGGUCAAUGGCCGGAAGGCUGAACCAGCCAAGCCGCGUGAAGGACGACGGUGCCAAGCAUUGUAAACUUCUUUUGUCAAGGGACAAACUCAGUCUCGAGAGCCUGACCGAGGGUACUUGAAGACAAAGCAUCGGCUAACUCCGUGCCAGCAGCCGCGGUAAUACGGAGGAUGCGAGCUUUAUCCGGAUUUAUUGGGUUUAAAGGGUGGGUAGGCGGGCAGUUAAGUCAGCGGUAAAAGCCCGGGGCUCAACCCCGGCGAGCCGUUGAAACUGGCUGGCUUGAGAUGUCGAGAGGGAUGCGGAAUGCGCGGUGUAGCGGGGAAAUGCUUAGAUAGUGCGAAGAACUCCGAUUGCGAAGGAAGCAUACCGGCGGCGAUCUGACGCUGAGGCACGAAAGCGUGGGUAUCGAACAGGAUUAGAUACCCGGGUAGUC